rnacentral:rRNA from 1 species
UUGUCCUACGGGGCGCAGCAGUGAGGAAUAUUGGUCAAUGGGCUUACGCCUGAACCAGCCAAGUCGCGUGAGGGAAGACUGCCCUAUGGGUUGUAAACCUCUUUUGUCAGGGAGCAACGCCGGCUACGUGUAGCCGGACUGAGAGUACCUGAAGAAAAAGCAUCGGCUAACUCCGUGCCAGCAGCCGCGGUAAUACGGAGGAUGCGACCGUUAUCCGGAUUUAUUGGGUUUAAAGGGGGCGUAGCCGGAAUGCCAAGUCAGCGGUAAAAUCGCGGGGCUAAAC